rnacentral:rRNA from 1 species
UACGUAGGGGGCAAGCGUUGUCCGGAAUUAUUGGGCGUAAAGAGCGUGUAGGCGGUCCGGUAAGUCAGCUGUGAAAGUCAAGGGCUCAACCCUUGAAAGCCGGUUGAUACUGUCGGGCUAGAGUCCGGAAGAGGCGAGUGGAAUUCCCGGUGUAGCGGUGAAAUGCGCAGAUAUCGGGAGGAACAUCAAUGGCGAAGGCAGCUCGCUGGGACGGUACUGACGCUGAGACGCGAAAGCGUGGGGAGCGAACAGG